UCACUUUCAACAACGGAUCUCUUGGCUCUCGCAUCGAUGAARAACGUCASCUAAGUGCGAUAAGUAGKGKGAAUUGCARAAUUUCGKGAAUCAUCGAAUCUUUGAACGCAAAUUGCACUCUCCGGUUUUCCGGGARAGUAUGCCUGUUUGAGGGUCA
rnacentral:rRNA from 1 species